GAUGAACGCUAGCGGCAGGCUUAAUACAUGCAAGUCGUGGGGCAGCAGGGGUGUAGCAAUACAUUCGCUGGCGACCGGCAAACGGGUGCGUAACACGUACGCAACCUUCCUGUUACUGGGGAAUAGCCCAGGGAAACUUGGAUUAAUACCCCAUAUUAUAUUGGUUAGGCAUCUGACUGAUAUCAAAGCUUCGGCGGUAACAGAUGGGCGUGCGGUUGAUUAGGUAGUUGGCGGGGUAACGGCCCACCAAGCCUACGAUCAAUAGCUGAUGUGAGAGCAUGAUCAGCCACACGGGCACUGAGACACGGGCCCGACUCCUACGGGAGGCAGCAGUAAGGAAUAUUGGGCAAUGGACGAAAGUCUGACCCAGCCAUGCCGCGUGAAGGAUGAAGGUCCUCUGGAUUGUAAACUUCUUUUAUCUGGGGCGAAAAUCGGUUAUUCUUAGCCGCUUGACAGUACCAGAGGAAUAAGCACCGGCUAACUCCGUGCCAGCCGCCGCCGUAACAC
rnacentral:rRNA from 1 species